CAUCCAGAGUGUUUGGAGAGUGGGCCCAUAAGAGAACAUUGUGUGUGUAUGUGUGUGUGUGUGUGUGUGUGUGUGUGUGUGUGUGUGCACGUGCACGCACGUAUGUGUUGGGGGCUGUGUAGCUUCUCCUAACUUCACCAUGCAGAAGUCAAGGAAACGGUUACAGAGGCAAAAUGUGGGAGUAGCUAAUGGCAAUGGCCCAGAGAGAUGAAAAAAUGUGAGAAAACCAAAGCUUGGAGGUAGGAACUUUCCGAUUCUUUUGGAGUAGACUAAGGUGACUUAAGUAGGAAAAGAACGCAUAGCCAGUAACUCUCCCAACAGAACUGGAUUCGUGCCUGGGGUGAUUCAGGAUGUCCAGUUAAGCUGGGAAAUACUGAUUCCACUGAUCCCCUUCAUUCACUCAGAGCAGACCGAAGACUGUGAGACUUCCUCCCCACAGUGAGCUAAAAGGACGCUUUUGUCAGAGUGGGGAAAUAAAAGGGCUUUAUGGGAAGGAAGAUAAGAACAGAUGAGUCAGAGGUUUCUGCUUAAUGCUCACUCUUCAAUUCUUUCCCGAGCAAAACCAAGAAUCUUCUUGGGCUAAGCCCCAAUUUGGGGUUCACCUGCCUUGCAGCAACAUGGCACCAAACAUGCGGCAGAAGAGAGAAAACGACAGCAUGAGAGACGGAGAAAGAAAUGGCCAGUUGGCAAGGUGGUAAUGAGAGACAGCAGUUGGCAAGACAGUGAGAGACAGCAAGAGAUGGCAAGUGACAGUUAUUGUUAAGAUGACAAAUGGAGAGAUGGCAAGAAAUAGAGAAGCAGUCAGUGAUGGAGGCUGCAAGAGUUGUAACACUAACCAAAGGCUCUUUUUAGAAUCAUCGUUUUCCCUGGCAGGUGGUACAGCCAAGCAGACAGGCAAGUAAGUGGCCAUACUGCUACUGCCUCAUGUAGGAUCCGGCAGGCUGGUGGGUUAUCAGUCCUCACGUGGGACCCUCCCACCAUGGCAGCUGAGCACAUCCAAGCUGGGGGAUCCUGAAGAGACCUUCACCUGGGUGCCACGUGGAAGAUUGGCCAGCACCAUUUUGACUCCUGUGGAUGGGUGAGUGUUUUGCCCACCCCCACCCCAAUAACAUCAGCACCCAAACUGCACCUGGUCACCUGUCUACAUUCAGAUUUAGAUGAAAGCCACACCAUGGAGGCAGCCAGAGGCCCAUGGGAGAUGUCUGGAUUCGCAGAGGAAUAGCUCCAUGUGAUGCAAACCUUGACUAAUGGGAACAGGAAAAGGGAGGAAACCAGGAAGAUAAAUCUCCCUCCCUUCUCAUUGCUCCUUGCAACCCUUCCCACUUGAAGCAUGACCACAUUUAAUGAACAACCUGCUGUGUCUCUUGGAAGCUUGCUGCAAGGCAGCAAUCAGCACAAUAACAUUGUAUUGUAUCUUCCUCUGCUUCACUUCUCUUCCUCCCUCACCCUCACUGCCCUGAGCUGGCACAUCCCAAAGAAAGCAUUACCACAUUAAUCCUUGUCUCAGACUCUGCUUUCAAGAGGAUCUAGGUGAAGGAAAUUCCUAUUACUCCACCUCUUCAUCACCUCUUCAAAUGUCAGACUUUAAAAAUGGUGUCAUUUUGUUGAGUGUAUCUCAUUGUGGUUUUAAUUUGCAUUUUCCUGAUUAUGAAUGGGGUUGGCUAACUUUUCCUAUGUUUAUUGGAUUUCUUCAUUUUUGAAGUGCUUGUUUAAGUUUUCUACUAAUUUUUCUAUUGGGUUGUCUUUUUUUUUUCUUUCUUUCUUUUUAAGACAGAAUCUUGCUCUGUUGCCCUGGCUAGAGUGCAGUGAUGUAAUAAUAGCUCACUGAAACCUCGAACUCCUGGGCUCAAGCAAUUAUCCCAUCUCGGCCUCCCAAGUAGCUGGAACUACAGGUGUGCACCACUACCACCAUGC
rnacentral:lncRNA from 1 species